rnacentral:rRNA from 1 species
UGAGGAAUAUUGGUCAAUGGGCGGGAGCCUGAACCAGCCAAGCCGCGUGAGGGAAGAAGGCCCUAUGGGUCGUAAACCUCUUUUGUCAGGGAACAAAAGCGAGUAUGUAUACUAGUCUGAGUGUACCUGAAGAAAAAGCAUCGGCUAACUCCGUGCCAGCAGCCGCGGUAAUACGGAGGAUGCGAGCGUUAUCCGGAUUUAUUGGGUUUAAAGGGUGCGUAGGCGGCGAUGCAAGUCAGCGGUAAAAGCCCGGGGCUCAACCCCGGCGAGCCGUUGAAACUGCAGUGCUAGAGAAGGCGAGAGGUACGCGGAAUGCGCAGUGUAGCGGUGAAAUGCUUAGAUAUUGCGCAGAACUCCGAUUGCGAAGGCAGCGUACUGGCGCCUGACUGACGCUGAGGCACGAAAGCGUGGGGAGCAAACAGGAUUAGAUACCC